rnacentral:rRNA from 1 species
AAGUCGAGCGGUAACAUUUCUAGCUUGCUAGAAGAUGACGAGCGGCGGACGGGUGAGUAAUGCUUGGGAACAUGCCUUGAGGUGGGGGACAACAGUUGGAAACGACUGCUAAUACCGCAUAAUGUCUACGGACCAAAGGGGGCUUCGGCUCUCGCCUUUAGAUUGGCCCAAGUGGGAUUAGCUAGUUGGUGAGGUAAUGGCUCACCAAGGCAACGAUCCCUAGCUGGUUUGAGAGGAUGAUCAGCCACACUGGAACUGAGACACGGUCCAGACUCCUACGGGAGGCAGCAGUGGGGAAUAUUGCACAAUGGGCGAAAGCCUGAUGCAGCCAUGCCGCGUGUGUGAAGAAGGCCUUCGGGUUGUAAAGCACUUUCAGUCAGGAGGAAAGGGUGUGAGUUAAUACCUCACAUCUGUGACGUUACUGACAGAAGAAGCACCGGCUAACUCCGUGCCAGCAGCCGCGGUAAUACGGAGGGUGCGAGCGUUAAUCGGAAUUACUGGGCGUAAAGCGUACGCAGGCGGUUUGUUAAGCGAGAUGUGAAAGCCCCGGGCUCAACCUGGGAACUGCAUUUCGAACUGGCAAACUAGAGUGUGAUAGAGGGUGGUAGAAUUUCAGGUGUAGCGGUGAAAUGCGUAGAGAUCUGAAGGAAUACCGAUGGCGAAGGCAGCCACCUGGGUCAACACUGACGCUCAUGUACGAAAGCGUGGGGAGCAAACGGGAUUAGAUACCCCGGUAGUCCACGCCGUAAACGAUGUCUACUAGAAGCUCGGAACCUCGGUUCUGUUUUUCAAAGCUAACGCAUUAAGUAGACCGCCUGGGGAGUACGGCCGCAAGGUUAAAACUCAAAUGAAUUGACGGGGGCCCGCACAAGCGGUGAGCAUGUGGUUUAAUUCGAUGCAACGCGAGAACCUUACCUACACUUGACAUACAGAGAACUUUCUAGAGAUAGAUUGGUGCCUUCGGGAACUCUGAUACAGGUGCUGCAUGGCUGUCGUCAGCUCGUGUGUGAGAUGUUGGGUAAGUCCCGCACGAGCGCACCCCUAUCCUUAGUGCUAGCAGGUAAUGCUGAAAACUCUAAGGAGACUGCGGGAUAACUGGAGGAGGUGGGACGACGUCAGUCAUCAUGGCCCUUACGUGAGGGCUACACACGUGCUACAUGGCCUACAAAGGGCUGCAACUGCGAGUACGCAAUCACUAAGGCGCUCUGAUCCGGGAUGGAACUGCACACCGACCUCUGGAGAUCGAAUCCUCAUUAAUCGGCGACAUACAAAAGUGACCCCG